rnacentral:lncRNA from 1 species
AGUCGACGCUAGUCGUAGCCAUAAUCCUCUCGAAGAUAUCUGGGCUCUGCCUUAACUUGUCUCCGUACUCUUUACCCAGGAAGUCGGCGAUCUUGAGCACCCAACCACGAGUGUCCUUCUUGAGGUCUUCGUAAGUGAUGAAAAGCACGUUGCUGUCCCCUCGAUGUUCGUACCAGGACAAGAGGUGGUCGAAGUAGUCGCCGAAGUCCACUUUUCCUUCGACGAACAUGUCAAAGAACUGGUCGAACGUGCCGUCCUCGAAGAGGUACAUCGGCAUGUUCCUCGUGUGGUAGUAGAACGACACGCAGCAGUCGUAAGGGUUGCGGGUGAUGUAGACGUACUUGGCGUUCGC